ACAUCGCCUCUUGUACCCUUAAAUAUAAGAGGUCCCGCCUGCCCUGUGACUGUAAGUUUAACGGCCGCGGUAUUUUGACCGUGCAAAGGUAGCGCAAUCACUUGUCUUUUAAAUGAAGACCUGUAUGAAUGGCAUAACGAGGGCUUAACUGUCUCCUUUUCCCAGUCAAUGAAAUUGAUCUCCCCGUGCAGAAGCGGGGAUACUAACAUAAGACGAGAAGACCCUAUGGAGCUUUAGACGCCAGAACUGACCAUGUUAAACACCCCUUAAAUAAAGGACAAAACUAAUUGGCCCCCGUUCUAAUGUCUUUGGUUGGGGCGACCGCGGGGAAAUAAAAAACCCCCAUGUGGACCGGGAGCACGCUACUCCUACAACCCAGAGUUACAGCUCUAAACAACAGAAUUUCUGACCAAUAAGAUCCGGCAUAAUAGCCGAUCAACGGACCGAGUUACCCUAGGGAUAACAGCGCAAUCCUCUUUUAGAGCCCAUAUCGACAAGAGGGUUUACGACCUCGAUGUUGGAUCAGGACAUCCUAAUGGU
rnacentral:rRNA from 1 species